ACUAAAUAAAAUCAACGAAUGUGGUGAAAAGUUCGGACUACAUAUAAAUAAUACCAAAGCAAAAAUGAUAGUGAUUAACAGAGAUCAGCAUAUUACCACUCUCAAUAUCAACGGAGAAAAUAUUGAACGUGUUGCCAAAUUUACCUAUCUUGGCGCUUCUCUAAAUGAAAAGUGGCAAUGUGAUGAAGAAGUGAAGGGAAGAAUUGGUUGGGACGCCGCAAGCAUUUUUAGACAGGCUGAGGAGGGCACCCUAGCUAUUCUGUGACCAUGAAAUGGACAAAUUAUCGCCGACCUGUAGCAUAGCACAUGGCACCCAAAGAAGAAAAAUAAUAAUAAAUUUGGGUUGAAUCUAGUAAUUGGACACCCUGUACAUUAGAAAAUAUUUUUUUAUGUACCCCGAACGAGCUUCAAUUUAUCCGUAAAAUAUUACUUUAUAAAAUUAAAUAGUUUUGACGCAAUCUUCCGUGUCGUAUAAUCUGAAUAACCUUGUGUAGUAAAACAACUUUGGUUUCAGGUAUUGGUUUUCCAGAAAGGUGAUAAAUAUUAUUUUCCUAAAACCAUACCGAAAGAGAGGAAAUCUGCUACAGAGGCGUAUGUGCUAAUGCUGAUCUUAAUUUUUGUAGUUCAUUUAGUACUAUCUGACUGCAGAAGUUGUGUGCCAAGUAAGUACUAGCAAGCAACUCCAUAUUUUUUAUGCAAAAAAGUUUCAGUACAGGGUUACUCAUUAUAAAUACAUCGCCCCUUUGACAUUCUUAUUUUGAACGAUGAUUUUUGAUUAUUUUAUAUCAGUUUUUGGAAAUUAUAAUUGUUAAAUGGCGCGAAAAUGCAAA